CCAAGAAUCUUGCGCAAUGGGCGAAGGCCUGACGCAGCGACACCGCGUGUGGGAUGACGCCUCUAGGGGUGUAAACCACUGUGAUAGGAGAAGAAGGGCAAGCUUGCUUGCUUUGACGGUACCCUAUUAGAAAGUAGCUGCUAACUACGUGCCAGAAGCCUCGGUUAGACGUAGGCUACGAACGUUAUCCGAUUUCACUGGGCGUAAAGGGACGCGUAGGCGGCUUAGUAAGUCGUGCUUUAAAUCCCCCUGCUUAACGGGGCGGAUGGGCGCGAUACUAUUGAGCUGGAGUUUUCUUCAGGAGAGCGGAACGUUCUUUGUAGCGGUAAAAUGCGUUGAUAAAGAACGGAACACCAAAGGCGAAGGCAGCUCUCUGGAAGUUUACUGACGCUGAGGCUCUAAAGCCAGGGGAGCAAAAG
rnacentral:rRNA from 1 species